AUGGGCCCUCAACAGAAGUUCGUGGCACCCAUACACCAUCACCAGAGCCUGAGCUAACACCUGGCACGGCCAAUGAGGCAAGCCACACGCCAGCAACAAGUGCGGAUGGGCCUUCCCAAGCCACUCAUAACCGUACACCAUUGCGAGCAGGGAGAAGCCAAAAUGAGGCAACGCUGGCGUUUUUGGAGGCCAGGUAU